CCCCCUGGCCCCCAAAGCACCUCGACCACGGAGUUCAGCUCACAGUGGUGGAGAGAGAACAGACAGGGAAGUAAAACUCUAGUCUUUAUCACUAUACCAGCAUCAUCAUGACGUUUUGAUUUAGGAAUUUACAAUCUGCUCUCACAGUCUCAAAUAUCAUAAUCAUCACCAUCAUCAUCACCACCAUUAGCAUCAUAACCACCAUUAUCAUCGUCAUCACCACCAUUAUCAUCGUCAUCACCGCCAUUAUCAUCAUCACCACCAUUGUCAUCAUCACCACCAUUAUCGUCAUCACCACCAUUAUCAUCAUCGCCACCAUUAUCAUCAUCACUGUCAUCAUCCUCAUGGUUACCUGGUACCCGUUGCUGUUGCAGAGUGCUAUGGACCCCAUCCUCCAGGGUAAUCUACACAAUAGCCAGUGCCAACAUUGUACAGCUUAAAAAAUACAGGCAUAAUAUGUUACAGGAUACAUGAAAACAGUAUAUUAAUAAUAUAAAAAUACAGAUAAGGCUAUUCAAAGUGUGUGUGUGUGUGUGUUCGUGUGUGUGUGUGAGAGAGACUCCUACCUCCCCUGAGAGCGAAGGUCUGUCCUGUGGUAUAUUGAGGGUAGACGAGACUCCUACCUCCCCUGAGAGCGAAGGUCUGUCCUGUGGUAUAUAGAGGUCUGGGUAGACGAGACUCCUACCUCCCCCCGAGAGCGAAGGUCUGUCCUGUGGUAUAUAGAGGUCUGGGUAGACGAGACUCCUACCUCCCCUGAGAGCGAAGGUCUGUCCUGUGGUAUAUAGAGGUCUGGGUAGACGAGACUCCUACCUCCCCUGAGAGCGAAGGUCUGUCCUGUGGUAUAUAGAGGUCUGGGUAGACGUCAGUCAGGAACCAGUGGAAGUUUCUGCAGCCCGGUCUCUUCUUCAGUCUUACUAGCUCUCCAAUGUUAGGACUCUCAGACUACACAGAGAAGAGGACACACACAAAAUCAUUUGAGAUCAAUGACAAUCUCUCUCUCUUUCAUGCUCUCGCUUUCUCUCACGCUCACACACACACACA
rnacentral:lncRNA from 1 species